rnacentral:rRNA from 1 species
UACAGAGGUGGCAAGCGUUGUUCGGAAUUACUGGGCGUAAAGGGCGCGUAGGCGGCCAUCUAAGUCAGACGUGAAAUCCCCCGGCUUAACCUGGGAACUGCGUCUGAUACUGGAAGGCUUGAGUAUGGGAGAGGGAUGUAGAAUUCCUGGUGUAGCGGUGGAAUGCGCAGAUAUCAGGAGGAACACCGGUGGCGAAGGCGGGUCUCUGGGCACUUACUGACGCUGAGGAGCGAAAGCGUGGGGAGCGAACAGG